AAGAAAAUAUAAGCGCCUGAACCAGCUGUCGGGUAACAGUUGGUUGACGAGGAAGGGGUUAAUCGAGAAUUUCGGCGGAUGCCCCUCGGUGAACCACCACCGUGAGGAUCUCUCCAAAAACAGAGAGCAAUCUCUGGGACAAAGGGAUAUCCAGUGGGGAAA
rnacentral:ncRNA from 1 species